rnacentral:rRNA from 1 species
AUAACAACACUUAGACGCAUGUCUAGAGUUUAAAAGAUGGUUCUGCUAUCACUCUGGGAUGGACCUGCGGUGCAUUAGCUAGUUGGUAAAGGCAACGGGCUUACCAAGGCAAUGAUGCAUAGCCCGAGUUGAGAGACUGAUCGGGCCACAUUGGGGACUGAGACACGGGCCCAAAACUCCUACGGGGAGGCAGCAGUAGGGAAUCUUCCACAAUGGACGCAAGUCUGAUGGAGCAACGCCGCGUGAGUGAAGAAGGGUUUCGGCUCGUAAAGCUCUGUUGGUAGUGAAGAAAGAUAGAGGUAGUAACUGGCCUUUAUUUGACGGUAAUUACUUAGAAGUCACGGCUAACUACGUGCCAGCAGCCGCGGUAAU